rnacentral:rRNA from 1 species
CAGCAGCCGCGGUAAUACGUAGGUCCCGAGCGUUGUCCGGAUUUAUUGGGCGUAAAGCGAGCGCAGGCGGUUAGAUAAGUCUGAAGUUAAAGGCUGUGGCUUAACCAUAGUACGCUUUGGAAACUGUUUAACUUGAGUGCAAGAGGGGAGAGUGGAAUUCCAUGUGUAGCGGUGAAAUGCGUAGAUAUAUGGAGGAACACCGGUGGCGAAAGCGGCUCUCUGGCUUGUAACUGUCGCUGAGGCUCGAAAGCGUGGGGAGCAAACAGGAUUAGAUACCCGUGUAGUCCCUGUCUCUUAUACA